rnacentral:tRNA from 1 species
GCUCCCGUGGUGUAGUCCGGCCAAUCAUGCGAGGCUUUCGACCUUGCGACCCGGGUUCAAAUCCCGGCGGGAGCA